UGCCCAUAAGACUGGGAUAACUCCGGGAAACCGGGGCUAAUACCGGAUAACAUUUUGAACUGCAUGGUUCGAAAUUGAAAGGCGGCUUCGGCUGUCACUUAUGGAUGGACCCGCGUCGCAUUAGCUAGUUGGUGAGGUAACGGCUCACCAAGGCAACGAUGCGUAGCCGACCUGAGAGGGUGAUCGGCCACACUGGGACUGAGACACGGCCCAGACUCCUACGGGAGGCAGCAGUAGGGAAUCUUCCGCAAUGGACGAAAGUCUGACGGAGCAACGCCGCGUGAGUGAUGAAGGCUUUCGGGUCGUAAAACUCUGUUGUUAGGGAAGAACAAGUGCUAGUUGAAUAAGCUGGCACCUUGACGGUACCUAACCAGAAAGCCACGGCUAACUACGUGCCAGCAGCCGCGGUAAUACGUAGGUGGCAAGCGUUAUCCGGAAUUAUUGGGCGUAAAGCGCGCGCAGGUGGUUUCUUAAGUCUGAUGUGAAAGCCCACGGCUCAACCGUGGAGGGUCAUUGGAAACUGGGAGACUUGAGUGCAGAAGAGGAAAGUGGAAUUCCAUGUGUAGCGGUGAAAUGCGUAGAGAUAUGGAGGAACACCAGUGGCGAAGGCGACUUUCUGGUCUGUAACU
rnacentral:rRNA from 1 species